rnacentral:misc_RNA from 1 species
GAUGAAGAACGUAGCGAAAUGCGAAAAGUAAUGUGAAUUGCAGAAUUCAGUGAACCAUCGAAUCUUUGAACGCACAUUGCGCCCGCUGGAACUCCGGCGGGCACGCCUGUCCGAGCGUCAUUUCAACCCUCAGGCCCCCCUUCGCGGGCGGGCCUGGUGUUGGGGCCCGGCCGCUACCCUGCGGCCGUCCCCUAAAUUCAGUGGCGGCCUCGCCGUGAUCCCUUGCGUAGUAAUGCACCUCGCACCGGAGAGCGCCGUGGCCACGCCGUAAAACCCCCAAUUUUCAAUGGUUGACCUCGGAUCAGGUGGGAAUACCAGCUGAACUUAAGCAUAUCAAUAAGCGGAGGA